GACGAACGCUGGCGGCGUGCUUAACACAUGCAAGUCGAACGGAAAGGCCCUGCUUUUGUGGGAUGCUCGAGUGGCGAACGGGUGAGUAACACGUGAGUAACCUGCCCUUGACUUUGGGAUAACUUCAGGAAACUGGGGCUAAUACCGGAUAGGAGCUCCUGCUGCAUGGUGGGGGUUGGAAAGUUUCGGCGGUUGGGGAUGGACUCGCGGCUUAUCAGCUUGUUGGUGGGGUAGUGGCUUACCAAGGCUUUGACGGGUAGCCGGCCUGAGGGGGUGACCGGCCACAUUGGGACUGAGAUACGGCCCAGACUCCUACGGGAGGCAGCAGUGGGGAAUAUUGCACAAUGGGCGGAAGCCUGAUGCAGCAACGCCGCGUGCGGGAUGACGGCCUUCGGGUUGUAAACCGCUUUCGCCUGUGACGAAGCGUGAGUGACGGUAAUGGGUAAAGAAGCACCGGCUAACUACGUG
rnacentral:rRNA from 1 species